UGGGGAAUAUUGCACAAUGGACGGAAGUCUGAUGCAGCAACGCCGCGUGCGGGAUGACGGCCUUCGGGUUGUAAACCGCUUUUUCUCAUGACGAAGUUUUUUGACGGUAGUGGGGGAAGAAGCACCGGCUAACUACGUGCCAGCAGCCGCGGUGAUACGUGGGGUGCGAGCGUUGUCCGGAAUUAUUGGGCGUAAAGAGCUUGUAGGCGGUUUGUCGCGUCGAUAGUGCAAACUCAGUGCUUAACGCUGAGCCUGCUGUUGAUACGGGCAGACUAGAGGAAGGUAGGGGAGAAUGGAAUUCCCGGUGGAGCGGUGGAAUGCGCAGAUAUCGGGAGGAACACCGGUGGCGAAGGCGGUUCUCUGGGCCUUUCCUGACGCUGAGAAGCGAAAGCGUGGGGAGCGAACAGG
rnacentral:rRNA from 1 species